UACAGAGGGGGCAAGCGUUAUUCGGAAUUAUUGGGCGUAAAGGGCGCGUAGGCGGCCAUUCAAGUGACGGGUGAAAGCCCUCGGCUUAACCGAGGAACUGCCUGUCAGACUGGAUGGCUUGAGACCGGGAGAGGUGAGUGGAAUUCCCAGUGUAGCGGUGAAAUGCGUAGAUAAUGGGAGGAACACCAGUGGCGAAGGCGGCUCACUGGACCGGAACUGACGCUGAGGCGCGAAAGCGUGGGGAGCAAACAGG
rnacentral:rRNA from 1 species